UGGGCGAUAUCUUUGUGAAUCGCACCUGUAAGAUAUGUUCUUGGAUACUAAUUGAAUAAUUCUGCCUUGAUCACAUUGACAGGGACGGAGG
rnacentral:ncRNA from 1 species